rnacentral:rRNA from 1 species
CCUACGGGAGGCAGCAGUGGGGAAUAUUGGACAAUGGGGGGAACCCUGAUCCAGCGACGCCGCGUGAGUGAAGAAGUAUUUCGGUAUGUAAAGCUCUAUCAGCAGGGAAGAAAGAAAUGACGGUAUCUGACUAAGAAGCUCCGGCUAACUACGGGCUAGCAGCAGCGGUAAUACGGAGGGGGCAAGCGUUAUCCGGAUUUACUGGGUGUAAAGGGAGCGUAGACGGCGAUGCAAGUCUGAAGUGAAAGGCGGGGGCCCAACCCCCGGACUGCUUUGGAAACUGUAUGGCUGGAGUGCAGGAGAGGUAAGUGGAAUGCCUGGUGUAGCGGUGAAAUGCGUAGAUAUUAGAAGGAACACCAGUGGCGAAGGCAGCUUACUGGACUGUAACUGACGUUGAGGCUCGAAAGCGUGGGGAGCAAACAGGAUUAGAUACCCCGGUAGUC